rnacentral:lncRNA from 1 species
UGGUCCUCAAUGGUCUUCAAUUUCGUACUUUAUUUGGCCUUUUUAAUUUUUUUCAUUCGAGAUUCACUGAUGAGUUUUUGUAGACGAAACUGCGCCUGGCACAGAUACAAAAUUUCAAUACAAGUAUCCCAGAUGAGUUCAUUUACAACAUGAGUAACAAUUGAUGACACGAAUGUGACCUACAGAAUUAGACUAUUUAACGGGUUUAAGAGCAGUACGACGGGUGCCACAUGUGGAUCAGGAUCUGCCUACCCUUCCGGAGCACCUGAGAUUACUCCAGUUUUUGGUGGGGUUCGUGUUGAUUAGUUUAUAGUUUUCUAUUUUGUGUUUUGUGUACUAUUGUGUAUUUCUCUUUUUUUUGUCAGGGCGUUGUGUUUUUGAUCUACGAAUGUUUCUCUGGUAUCUUUCGCCCCUCUUUUGUAUAUAAAGGUCCAAAUGACCAAUAUUAGUAACAAGCUUUCCCUCUACAAAUAUCGUAUGGUUUCUGAUCUCUGGUCAUAAACUAAAUAUUUUCACAUAAACAGGAAUGACUUUUUUGCCAGUGGAUGAAGGUCACUUGUACUCAAAUUUCAAGACUUAUGAAUAUAAAUAUAUACAUGUCGAAUGAUUCCAUGAUGCAUCUUGGAA